rnacentral:rRNA from 1 species
CACGGGGGGAGCAAGCGUUGUUCGGAAUCACUGGGCGUAAAGGGCGCGUAGGCGGCCAGCGCAAGUCAGUUGUGAAAUCUCCGAGCUUAACUCGGAAAGGUCAACUGAUACUGCGCGGCUAGAGUGCGGAAGGGGCAACUGGAAUUCUUGGUGUAGCGGUGAAAUGCGUAGAUAUCAAGAGGAACACCUGCGGCGAAGGCGGGUUGCUGGGCCGACACUGACGCUGAUGCGCGAAAGCCAGGGGAGCGAACGGG